rnacentral:lncRNA from 7 species
GGCCACUUCCUUUCCCCUCUGCAGUCUCACUGUCCCCAAGCUGCUCCUGCCUCAUGGCAUCAAUGGCGGUGAACCUCAUUCUCGGUUGGUGGCUGGUGGCAGCGAGCAGGGCACAGCAACUGCCCCGACCCUCCCUGUCACUGCACCCCAGCCAGGGGGUGUCCCCGGGGGAUCCUGUCACCCUGCGGUGCCACCUGCCCCGGCUGGCUGCCUGGGUCUGGCUGUACCAGGAAGGAGGUUGGUUGUACAAGAAGCGGAAGGAGAAGGAGCAGGACACGAGCGAGUUCUUCUUUGCUAGCACACUGUGGGAACACGCAGGUCGUUAUCGGUGUCAGUACCGGGUGUCUGAGUCAGCCGAGGUGUCAGUGGAGAGUGACCCCGUGGAGCUGGUGCUGACAGAUGUCAGAUAUCCCCCAUCCAGCAUUUCCCUUCACCCUGAGCAACAUGUGGGAACAGGGACCAAUGUCACCAUCCGCUGCUGGAGCAAUGAUUACGGGGCCACCUUCUUCCUGCACAAGGAUGGGAGCUCAGACCCUAUCAAGUACCAGAACUCCAGUGGUGGGGGCACAGCCACUUUCACCCUCUUUGGGGUGACCCCAGCUGACAGUGGCACCUACAGGUGCUCCUAUCACCCCAAGAACUACUCCUUUCUUUCCUCACCCCUUGGGGACAGCAUGACGCUGGAGGUGACACCCACACCUGCACCCCCAGGUGCUGAGUUGGUGUCCCGCGGGAACCUGGUGGUGGCAGUGGUGAGGGGCUGCGCUGCUGUGCUCAUCUUUGCCCUCGGCGUCUUCUUUGUCAUCGAUGCCCGCAGCCUCUGGAUACAGAGAGAUGAGAGUCUGGGUGGGAAAGGGAUUGAAUGGCUUUGAUCUCCUGUACAUCUUCUACACAUCUCCCCAGUUUUCCCCUUCCACUCCUUCCAUUCCUCGGUAGAAUCCACCAGGUGCACCAUUGGACCACUAUACAUUGCCUAUCGAUUCCCUCAGAUGUUCCCUGUCCCCAUCCCAUCUCCUAUAAAUCCAUCAUGUAUCCCCUGCCUCCCCUUCCAGACCCUAUAAAUUAUCUAGUCCCUG